rnacentral:rRNA from 1 species
UACAGAGGUCUCAAGCGUUGUUCGGAUUCAUUGGGCGUAAAGGGUGCGUAGGCGGCGCGGUAAGUCUGGUGUGAAAUCUUGGAGCUUAACUCCGAAACUGCAUUCGAUACUGCCGUGCUUGAGGACUGGAGAGGAGACUGGAAUUUACGGUGUAGCGGUGAAAUGCGUAGAUAUCGUAAGGAAGACCAGUGGCGAAGGCGGGUCUCUGGACAGUUCCUGACGCUGAGGCACGAAGGCCAGGGGAGCAAACGGG